rnacentral:rRNA from 1 species
UGAGGAAUAUUGGUCAAUGGGCGCAAGCCUGAACCAGCCAUCCCGCGUGCAGGAAGACGGCGCUAUGCGUUGUAAGCUGCUUUUCCAGGGGGAGAAACUUGCGCACGUGUUGCGCAAUUGACGGUACCCUGGGAAUAAGCAUCGGCUAACUCCGUGCCAGCAGCCGCGGUAAUACGGAGGAUGCGAGCGUUAUCCGGAUUCAUUGGGUUUAAAGGGUGCGUAGGCGGACUAUUAAGUCAGUGGUGAAAUCCUGCAGCUUAACUGCAGAACUGCCAUUGAUACUGAUAGCCUUGAGUUUGGUUAAGGUAGGCGGAAUGUGUAAUGUAGCGGUGAAAUGCUUAGAUAUUACACAGAACACCAAGUGCGUAGGCAGCUUACUGAGCCGACACUGACGCUGAGGCACGAAAGCGUGGGGAUCGAACAG